UACGUAGGCAGCGAGCGUUGUUCGGAAUUACUGGGCGUAAAGAGUGUGUAGGCGGUGUUCCCAGUCUGUUGUGAAAUCUCCCGGCUUAACUGGGAGGGUGCAGCGGAAACUAGAAUGCUAGAGGGUGGGAGAGGUAAGCGGAAUUCCUGGUGUAGCGGUGAAAUGCGUAGAUAUCGGGAGGAACACCUGUGGCGAAAGCGGCGCACUGGACCAUAACUGACGCUGAGGCGCGAAAGCUAGGGGAGCAAACAGG
rnacentral:rRNA from 1 species